rnacentral:lncRNA from 1 species
CUGGUGUAUCACAUAAAUUAUAUUGCCUUAUAAUACCAAGCCUUCUAGAAACAAUUGACAUGUUCAGUAUAGGGGGAUGAUUAUACAAAUUAUAAAAGUAGUAAUAAUUUCUCAGGCCCAAAUCUUUUCUGUUUUCACACAUACUCCAUAUCCAAUUCAUCUAUAAAUUCUGUUUGCUGUCCCUUAAAAAUGAUUUCAAAUCUGAACAUACUUCUUCACUUACACAGCUACUCUGUGGUCCAAAUCCCAGCCCUCUCUGGCCUAACACUGGAGAGUUUCUCACCUGCUCUCCUUGCUUUCACUCUACUCCUCCUGUUGUCUCUUAUGUGCACAGGUGCCACACCGGGAAUUGAAAAUGCAAAAUAGGUACCACCAUCUUGCUCAAAACUCUCCAGUGUCCAUCUUCUUAUUGCACUUAACAUGAUACCUGAAGUUCUGACCAAGGCUUACAGGAUGUUACUUGAUCUGAGACUUGGCCAUUGCUCCAACCUCAUUUCCUACUGUUCUCCCCUUUCUGGCUUCUCUACCAACACUGGCUUCUUGUUGUUCUUUGAACAUGUGUACGAAUCUUUUAACUUGAUGUUCCCUCUGUUUGGGACACUUUCCCCUAAGGUUAUUGACAUAACUUUCUUCUUCACUUCCCUUGCAUCUUGGUUCAAUUUUGUCCUUCUCAGACCAUCCUAUUCAAAAUAGCAAUUCCCUUCUGAUCCUCAUUACAUUGGUGACGCAUUCUGAGAAAACACAAGUCCAAAAUUCAAGAAAGCAUUGGAUUGUAGUUUAAAUCAUUGCUCCCAAAGCUGGGUUGCAGUGGUAUUUCUACACCAAUUUAAGCGCUUUAUGCAGAUUGUCUCAUUUAAUUUUCACCACGACUCUUUUGAUCAGUGUUUCCUAUUUUCAGAUCAUGAACCUGAAGAUGAGAGAUGAUUUCCUGUAGUGUAAGUGGAGGAGCCAGGACUUGAACCGCGGCAAUGGGGGUCGGCACCAACAGGCUAAACUGCCUCCCAGGGCACUGGGCACAUCUUUCCUUCUCACCCUUGCACUGUGUCACAAGGGGCAGCAGCUGUCUUUAAUUUCAUGUUUCACUCUCUCAAAAUUUCCCCCUUUUUUAUUUUCUAAAACUCAGCCUACACUGAUUAAUUGCUGUCCCAUGCUCUACUGCCUUUGUCCUGGGUCUCUCUCCUUCUUAGACACCUCCACUUUAAAGCAAUCUGGAAUCCCUGACUUCUCCAGCUCUAUAUUUUUGGCCAGUUUGUCAUCAUUUGCAUAAAGAAGCUCAAAAGACAGCCUGGGGGCAUGCCACACCCUCCUACAAAGGGGCAGGAGGAGAGACACAAUUCUCAUCACACAUUUUCAAGUUUCUAGAAGAUGCCUCUGCAAUACUUCAGUACGGAGCACACACUUCCUGAACUACUCCAAGUGGAAAUGAUUUCACCUUUCUCUGAAUCUUUAUAGAAUGUGUUUCUGUUUCUAUUGAUUUGACCCUAGUAUUUAACCAUACAAAGCGAAUGGUAGGUGUGUUGCCUUUAGCAAGUUAUUCAUCACUUUGUACCUUAGUUUCUUUCUCUGUAAAAUGGAGAAAAUAAUAUCUACACUUCAAGGUCGUGGGAGGGAUUAAAUAACGCAAGAUACCUAUUAAUACUUGGCAUACAGUUGACAAUCAUUAGUCAUGAGUUCAUCUUGAAUCUGAUUCUGAAGGCAGAAUAUGUAUCUUUCCUCAUACCUGCAGUGUUGAGUCAUUGUAUUAGUCCUGAGGAAGUGACUGGAAAAGAAGUCUCAAUUUCACUGCCAAAGAAAUAAUUGGAUCAAGGUUACAUAGCGUAUUUAAAAAAAAAAAAAAACAACUCAAGCAAACAAACAAAAUAAAUGUGUGCAUGCUUAUAACCCUCUUAUGCAUGAUUUCCAGGUCAGACAUUUCUAAAUGUAGCCUUCUGUGGACACCUUUGAGCACUGAAUGACAGAUGGCAUAGAGUGAUGGACAAGGAAAUGGACCCAGAUAGGAAAUCUGGGUUCUAACCAUUCCUCCCUAGCUACGUGACCCAACUUAAGGUACUUAUUUUCCUUAGGCUCAG